rnacentral:rRNA from 1 species
CAGUCGAGGGGUACAGGAGUAGCUUGCUAUUUGCUGACGACCGGCGCACGGGUGCGUAACGCGUAUAGAAUCUACCUUAUACUGGGGGAUAGCCUUUGGAAACGAAGAUUAAUACCCCAUAGUAUUAUUUUUUGGCAUCAUUAAAUAAUUAAAGUUUCGGCGGUAUAAGAUGACUAUGCGUUCUAUUAGUUAGUUGGUAAGGUAACGGCUUACCAAGACUUCGAUAGAUAGGGGUCCUGAGAGGGAGAUCCCCCACACUGGUACUGAGACACGGACCAGACUCCUACGGGAGGCAGCAGUGAGGAAUAUUGGACAAUGGAGGCAACUCUGAUCCAGCCAUGCCGCGUGUAGGAAGACUGCCCUAUGGGUUGUAAACUACUUUUAUAUGGGAAGAAUAAGAUCUACGUGUAGAUCGAUGACGGUACCAUAAGAAUAAGCACCGGCUAACUCCGUGCCAGCAGCCGCGGUAAUACGGAGGGUGCAAGCGUUAUCCGGAAUCAUUGGGUUUAAAGGGUCCGUAGGCGGGCAUAUAAGUCAGUGGUGAAAGUCUGUGGCUCAACCAUAGAAUUGCCAUUGAUACUGUAUGUCUUGAAUUAUUGUGAAGUGGUUAGAAUAUGUAGUGUAGCGGUGAAAUGCUUAGAGAUUACAUAGAAUACCGAUUGCGAAGGCAGAUCACUAACAAUAUAUUGACGCUGAUGGACGAAAGCGUAGGUAGCGAACAGGAUUAGAUACCCUGGUAGUCUACGCCGUAAACGAUGGAUACUAGUUGUUUGGUUUUCGGACUGAGUGACUAAGCGAAAGUGAUAAGUAUCCCACCUGGGGAGUACGUUCGCAAGAAUGAAACUCAAAGGAAUUGACGGGGGCCCGCACAAGCGGUGGAGCAUGUGGUUUAAUUCGAUGAUACGCGAGGAACCUUACCAGGGCUUAAAUGUAGUCUGACAGCUUUAGAGAUAGAGUUUUCUUCGGACAGAUUACAAGGUGCUGCAUGGUUGUCGUCAGCUCGUGCCGUGAGGUGUCAGGUUAAGUCCUAUAACGAGCGCAACCCCUGUGGUUAGUUGCCAGCGAGUAAUGUCGGGAACUCUAGCCAGACUGCCGGUGCAAACCGUGAGGAAGGUGGGGAUGACGUCAAAUCAUCACGGCCCUUACGUCCUGGGCCACACACGUGCUACAAUGGUAGGGACAGAGAGCAGCCACUUAGCGAUAAGGAGCGAAUCUAUAAACCCUAUCUCAGUUCGUAUUGGAGUCUGCAACUCGACUCC